rnacentral:rRNA from 1 species
UAAGGGAUCUUGCGACAAUGGGCGAAAGCCUGACGCAGCAACGCCGCGUGCGGGAUGACGGCCUUCGGGUUGUAAACCGCUUUUCGGGGGAAGAGGAAGGACGGUACCCCCGGAAGAAGUCUCGGCUAACUCUGUGCCAGCAGCCGCGGUAAUACAGAGGCNGGCAAGCGUUGUUCGGAAUUAUUAGGGCGUAAAGAGCACGUAGGCGGCCUUGCAAGUCAGUUGUGAAAGCCUUCCGCUUAACGGAAGAACGGCAUCUGAUACUACAGGGCUUGAGUACGGGAGGGGAGAGUGGAACUUCUGGUGGAGCGGUGAAAUGCGUAGAUAUCAGAAGGAACGCCGGCGGCGAAAGCGACUCUCUGGUCCGAAACUGACGCUGAGUGUGCGAAAGCUAGGGGAGCAAACGGGAUUAGAUACCCGGGUAG